GAAUAUGAAGUGAUAAAUCACAAUUAGUUUCGACCUAAUCUUAGAUGAUUACCAUCCUUAUUCU
rnacentral:tRNA from 1 species